GUGGGAUUGACUAUAACAUCCUCCAGGCUAUAAGGGAAGCAAACACUGGAAGCUAGUGUUGCACGUAAAUAGAUGAGUAUAACUUCAAUUUCAAGAUUGUGAUGAAUUCUUUGAUUUUUUUCCCAGAGCAACAAAAAUAAAACACAUUAAUAAUCUUCAUUAUAUUACUGUAUGUAAAUUAUUACUUUUUGAAUUACUUUGACAUUUAAAUUUUUUUGUGAUUCACCCAUUUUAAAUAUUUUUGCAAUAGUUGGCUGGAUUAGAUUCUUCUCCCAUCAAUGCUCUGUAGAAUUGUUUGUUGUGUUAAAUAACUGGAUUAAAUUAUUCUAACAUCACUUUGUAGAA
rnacentral:misc_RNA from 1 species